CCACGCCCCCUGGAUCCCUUACCUGAGUAUCGUGUGCAUCCUGGCCAUCAUUGCCUCAUUCUGCAGCGGGCCAGGGGGCAUCCCAUUCAUCUUGACGGGCGAGUUCUUCCAGCAAUCCCAGCGGCCGGCGGCCUUCAUCAUUGCGGGCACCGUCAACUGGCUCUCCAACUUCGCUGUUGGCCUCCUCUUCCCGUUCAUUCAGAAAAGUCUGGACACCUACUGUUUCCUGGUCUUUGCCGCAAUCUGCCUCACAGGUGCCGUCUAUUUCUAUUUUGUCCUGCCUGAGACGAAAAACAGAACCCAGGCAGAAAUCAGCCAGGCAUUCGCCAAAAGGAACAAGGCAUGCCCGCUGGAGAACACGGACUCAGCUGCAUCUGACACCAAGGUGACCAGAAAGCCCGAGCCAGACCCCACCUCCACUCUGGACAAUUAUGUCAAAAAUGGGGUUGUCUAAAUGGAUGAUCUCACCAUUUCAGGAAACCAAAGAUUUCCCUACAUGGUUAAUAGUAUUAAGUAUUUAAAAAAUAAACCUUUGCUAAUCUAACGUCA